UACGUAGGUGGCAAGCGUUGUCCGGAUUUACUGGGCGUAAAGAGCGCGCAGGCGGCUGGGCAAGUCCGAUGUGAAAGCUUCCGGCUUAACUGGAAAAUUGCAUCGGAAACUGCUCGGCUUGAAGGUGGGAGAGGGUAGCGGAAUUCCCGGUGUAGUGGUGAAAUGCGUAGAUAUCGAGAGGAACACCGGCGGCGAAGGCGGGUUGCUGGGCUGACACUGACGCUGACAGCGCGAAAGCUAGGGGAGCGAACGGG
rnacentral:rRNA from 1 species